UACGUAGGGUGCAAGCGUUAAUCGGAAUUACUGGGCGUAAAGCGUGCGCAGGCGGCUUUGCAAGUCAGAUGUGAAAUCCCCGGGCUUAACCUGGGAACUGCAUUUGUGACUGCAUGGCUGGAGUGCGGCAGAGGGGGAUGGAAUUCCGCGUGUAGCAGUGAAAUGCGUAGAAAUGCGGAGGAACACCGAUGGCGAAGGCAAUCCCCUGGGCCUGCACUGACGCUCAAGCACGAAAGCGUGGGGAGCAAACAGG
rnacentral:rRNA from 1 species